AGAGUUUGAUCUUGGCUCAGAACGAACGCUGGCGGCGUGGAUAAGACAUGCAAGUCGAACGGGUGCGGUUGGGUAGCAAUAUUCGGCCAAACUAGUGGCGCACGGGUGAGUAACACGUGAGUAUCUACCGGGAAGUGGGGGAUAGCUCGCCGAAAGGCGAAUUAAUACCGCAUGUGGCAGCAAUGCCAAAGCAGCAAUGCGCUUCCCGACGAGCUCGCGGCCUAUCAGCUUGUUGGUGAGGUAAAAGCUCACCAAGGCUACGACGGGUAGCUGGUUCGAGAGGAUGACCAGCCACACUGGGACUGAGACACGGCCCAGACACCUACGGGUGGCAGCAGUCGAGAAUCAUUCACAAUGGGCGAAAGCCUGAUGGUGCGACGCCGCGUGGAGGAUGACGGCCCUCGGGUUGUAAACUCCUGUCAUCAGGGAACAAGAAAGUGAUAGUACCUGAAGAGGAAGAGACGGCUAACUCUGUGCCAGCAGCCGCGGUAAUACAGAGGUCUCAAGCGUUGUUCGGAUUUACUGGGCGUAAAGGGUGCGUAGGCGGUCGGCUCAGUCGAAUGUGAAAGCCCGUGGCUCAACCACGGAAUUGCAUUCGAUACUGGUUGACUUGAGGACUGGAGAGGAGACUGGAAUUCACGGUGUAGCAGUGAAAUGCGUAGAGAUCGUGAGGAAGGCCAGUGGCGAAAGCGGGUCUCUGGACAGCUCCUGACGCUGAGGCACGAAGGCCAGGGGAGCGAACGGGAUUAGAUACCCCGGUAGUCCUGGCAGUAAACGGUGCACGUUUGGUAUGGGAGGAUUCGACCCCUUCCGUGCCGGAGCUAACGCGUUAAACGUGCCGCCUGGGAAGUACGGGUCGCAAGACUAAAACCCAAAGAAAUUGACGGGGGCCCGCACAAGCGGUGGAGUAUGUGGCUUAAUUCGAUGCAACGCGAAGAACCUUACCUGGGUUUGACAUGCAUCCCUAAGCGCGUGAAAGCGCGUGAGUCCAGCAAUGGACAGUUUGCACAGGUGCUGCAUGGCUGUCGUCAGCUCGUGUCGUGAGAUGUUGGGUUAAGUCCCGCAACGAGCGCAACCCCUGUGAGCUGUUGCCACCUCCACGUGAGUGGAGAGCACUCUGCUCAGACUGCCUGGUCAAGCCAGGAGGAAGGUGGGGACGACGUCAAGUCAGUAUGGCCCUUACGCCCAGGGCUGCACACGUACUACAAUGCCCGGUACAAUGUGAACCGAGACCGCGAGGUGGAGGAAAUCUCAAAAACCGGGCCCAGUUCGGAUUGAAGGCUGCAACUCGCCUUCAUGGAGCCGGAAUCGCUAGUAAUGGCGCAUCAGCUACGGCGCCGUGAAUACGUUCCCGGACCUUGUACACACCGCCCGUCAAGCCAUGGGAGCUGGGGGUGCCUGAAGACGGUGACUUUACGGGGAGCUGUCUAAGGUAAAACUAGUAACUGGGGCUAAGUCGUAACAAGGUAACCGUA
rnacentral:rRNA from 1 species